ACCACCGUAGCUCAGAGGCUUGAGCAUUGGUCUUGUAAGCCAAAGGUCACAAGUUCGAAUCUCGUUGGUGGCU
rnacentral:tRNA from 1 species